UAGAGUUUGAUCCUGGCUCAGGAUGAACGCUAGCUACAGGCUUAACACAUGCAAGUCGAGGGGCAGCAUGAAAGGAACUUCGGUUCUUUUUGAUGGCGACCGGCGCACGGGUGCGUAACGCGUAUCGAACCUGCCUCAUACUCGGGGAUAGCCUUGCGAAAGUAAGAUUAAUACCCGGCGGUCUCGGAUGGCCGCAUGGCUAUCCGAGUGAAGAUUUAUCGGUAUGAGAUGGCGAUGCGUCCCAUUAGCUUGUUGGUGAGGUAAUGGCUCACCAAGGCAUCGAUGGGUAGGGGUUCUGAGAGGAAGGUCCCCCACAUUGGAACUGAGACACGGUCCAAACUCCUACGGGAGGCAGCAGUGAGGAAUAUUGGUCAAUGGACGAAAGUCUGAACCAGCCAAGUAGCGUGCAGGAAGACGGCCCUCUGGGUUGUAAACUGCUUUUAGUUGGGAAUAAAAAGAGGGACGUGUCCCUUAUUGUAUGUACCAUCAGAAAAAGGACCGGCUAAUUCCGUGCCAGCAGCCGCGGUAAUACGGAAGGUCCAGGCGUUAUCCGGAUUUAUUGGGUUUAAAGGGAGCGCAGGCGGCGGCGUAAGUCAGUUGUGAAAUCGUGCGGCUUAACCGUGCAAUUGCAGUUGAUACUGCGUCGCUUGAGUGCACACAGGGAUGUUGGAAUUCAUGGUGUAGCGGUGAAAUGCUUAGAUAUCAUGAAGAACUCCGAUCGCGAAGGCAUAUGUCCGGAGUGCAACUGACGCUGAGGCUCGAAAGUGUGGGUAUCAAACAGGAUUAGAUACCCUGGUAGUCCACACAGUAAACGAUGAAUACUCGCGGUUGGUUCGUUAGAAUCAGCCGCCAAGCGAAAGCGUUAAGUAUUCCACCUGGGGAGUACGCCGGCAACGGUGAAACUCAAAGGAA
rnacentral:rRNA from 1 species